CCCCUUUUAUUCUUUUUUCCCCCUUGUAAAAACGUCGAGCCCUGUUCAUGUUCUUCCUUGGGUUCUCGACAGAUCCAUAUGCUUCGAUCGAUUCAUCUCCUUCGAUCCAUUGUUCUUCUUGCGAUCCCACGCCACUUCCGCUCGCUGCGCAUCGUCGCCGCAGAGCGGCUGCCGGAUGACUGGGAUCAUGUGGCGGUGGCUUGAAACCCUAAUUGCUGAGACCGGAUGAAAGUGACCUGAAACCUGGGGACGAUCCAAGCUUGUCGAUGGGAUUUCUUGGACGUGUUCCUCUACCGGAAAUUGAUUCUACUGUUGAUAAAGGAAGGAUGGCUGAAGCUUUUGAAGUUGGUUUGCUUGGGAUCUGUUGAGUUAUAUAUGGCCCUCUUUUAUAUGUUGGAAAUGGUUCUGGCUCAAAAUUUUUUUAUGGCAAAAUACACGUCCAUUUUCUGAAUGAAAAUGAACAACCUUAAUCAGUAAAUAUGGCUGUAGAAUUUUAGAAAUGAUCAGUAAUGAAUUGACUCAUAAGAGCUACAUUGAUGAGCAUAGCUCCUGAUUAUAUGGUUUGCUGAAGAAUCUGAUUUGUGUAUAGCUGGUGAGUUUCUUUACUGUUCAUACAGCAUGCAGGUUGCAAAGCCUCUGCAUAUGGUUCUGAUAGCCAACCAUCGGAGGGGGAGCUUAUGAUGGAAGGCACUGGCGUGGUAUGGCAGUUGAACUCAAGUUUCUUCCACCUUUCCCAUGCUUCUUGACAAGAUUAUUUUGCUUGUACAUGUCUAGACUGCAAUGCAGAAAUCUAAUUAACUACACUGCAGUUGAAAAUCUAUCAAAUGGUUAAAAUGCAUUUUGCAGUCUAUAUUGGUAAUACAAUGAUCUAUUAGAAAAAGGAAAUUAUGAUCGUGACCACCCAUGCUUUUUAGCAGUUGUCUGCCGUGACAAAAGUUAUUUCAGGCACUCUACAUAAUGUGUCUCUUCGCCCUCGUGCUUUAGGUGUGUUGUGACUGCUACUAACAACACCAUGCGAACUUUGUAUGUUCAACUUAAACACUUUUUUCUUGUAGUCAUUUCAAAUUUAUUGUUUUUCGUUGAAUUUCUUGUAUGCAAAAAACAAUGCCUAUCGGACUACUCUUUUAAGUGUAGAUUAACAGUAAUGAAAAAUACAAUGUUUUCAUCC